UCAUAAUCCAGCAAUCUUCUCUGCAUCUCUGGAAAAAACAGUGCCCAGAUUCCUUUCAGGAAUUACUGGAAAUAUGCAGUUUCUCCAUUUACCUGAUUUGCAGGAAGAAAAAUCCUUCACUUUUGGACUCUGAUAAACAAAACUGAAUCAACCACAGCCUCAGGUUGGGCUGCUACCUGGCAAAAUUCACUGAGUCCCUUACUGUUGCUCUUCGGCAAACUGCUUCUGCAUAUCUGGAGUGUAU